GCAGCGGCAGGGUGAAGGGCUCCUCCAGCGCGACCCGAGACGCCGAGGCCGAGGAGGCGCGGAGAGCGAGCGAAGGCUGCUAGCAAGUUGUCAUCUCUCAAUAGUUUUCUGGAAAGUGGGGCCAAAAGAGCUGUUUGGAUAAGCUCUUUGCCGAAGAAUAACGUGAGAAGGAAUUAUGUCUCUGAAUACUUUCUUACCCCAUCAAAUAUGAGCAGAUUGGGAUUUAUACCACCAGCUUUCCUGGUUCUCCACCUUGCAGAAAGAAGAUCCUGGGACUUCUAGCUCAGCUUCUAUAACCAUAACUACCAACACUUUUCAAAUUUAAAUCCUACAAACAAGCUGAAUUUGAUUAAGUAUUCUUCAGGUGGCUCUAUCAAAUACUCUUGUAUAAUAUCAGUAUGAAGCCCAGGAAGACAGUAGAGCAUAAUUUAAUAUGAAAAGGAGGUAGAGUUGGAGGUCUGCAUCUGUUUCUACCUUAUGGAGAAUCAACAGCAAAUACUUGGUUCCUGGAAUACAGGGAGGAGAAAAAUCCAACAGGAGUAUGAUGGAAAAACAAAUGAGCCAGGAAUCCAAAUUCUGCAUGAUAUUUAGUCUGGAAGAUAGAAAAUGGUUUCAUUGAAGACAAGGGAAGAAUGUUUCAAGCCGAAAAGAGUCAACAGUGUCAGAUGCAACAGAGGAACAGUGAAAGAAAACUUUAAAGACAACUGAAAUAAUUUGGCAAGUCAGUCAUUGAUGACGUUUGCCUGACAGUAUCAUUGAAAUGGUGAGGUGAGAAGACUGAUUUCAACUUCCUCUUGUGCAUGGGGGGAGAGAAAUGAGAGUAUUGCAUGAUGACAAAUAAAAUUUCCAGGAGCCUAGUGAUGAAGGGACAUAGACAUUAAGAGAUGUGAGGGGCGUUUGGUGUUUUGCUUGUGUAUACAAAUGUGUUUUUCAAGUUUGAGCAGAUUUAAGCUCUUUAAAAAUUCUGGAUCCAAAUCACAAUAGGAAUACUAAAGUGCACUUAAAAUAUUUGUAUUAUUGUUAAUCAUAUUUGAUACUGUUUUUUCAUGUGUAAAAUUAUUUGAUAUGUAUCUCUAGCCAUAAAAAUUAUUUAACUCAAAUCUAUUUUACUGUUGAAUAGAAACAAUUUAAAAUUAGGUGCUGGAUCUCCCUGAUCUGUAUCCCAACCACUUUGGCUACUCAUGCAUACAUACAUAUAUGUAUAUAUGUAUACACAUGUGUGUGUGUGCACUUAUGUGCUUCAUUAUGUGUUGUUGAAUUAAACUAGAUAAUAAAAAUAAAAAUGUGUAUUCCACUA